GGUUCGAUCGAUGGCUCAGAUUGAACGCUGGCGGGGAUGCUUUUACACAUGCAAGUCGAACGGCAGCACGGACUUUCGGUCUGGUGGCGAGGGCGAACGGGUGAGAGUAAUGUAUCGGAACGUGCCUAGUAGCGGGGGAUAACUACGCGCAAAGCGUAGCCAAUACCGCAUACGCCCUUCGGGGGAAAGCGGGGACCUUCGGGCUCCUCGCACUACAGAGCGGCCGAUAUCGAUUAGCUAGUUGGUGGGGUAACGGCUCACUGGCGACGAUCCGUAGCUGGUUUGAGAGGACGACCAGCCACACUUGGACUGAGACACGGCCCAGACUCCCACGGGAGGCAGCAGUGGGGGAAUUUUGACAAUGGGAAACCCUGAUCCAGCCAUCCCGCGUGUGCGAUGAAGGCUCGGGUUGUAAAGCACUUUUGCGCAGGAAAGAAACGGCACGGAUAAUACCCCGCAACUGACGGUACCGCAGAAUAAGCACCGGCUAACUACGUGCCAGCAGCCGCGGUAAUACGUAGGGUGCAAGCGUUAAUCGGAAUUACCGGGCGGGAAGCGUGCGCAGGCGGUUCGGAAAGAAAGAUGUGAAAUCCCAGAGCUUAACUUUGGAACUGCAUUUUUAACUACCGAGCUAGGAGUGUGUCAGAGGAGGUGGAAUUCGCGUGUAGCAGUGAAAUGCGUAGAUAUGCGGAGGAACACCGAUGGCGAAGGCAGCCUCCUGGGAUAACACUGACGCUCACAGCACGAAAGCGUGGGGAGCAAACAGGAUUAGAUACCCUGGUAGUCCACGCCCUAAACGAUGUCAGGUUCAGCUGUUGGGGCCUGGCCUGGUAGCGCAGCUAAUGUGGAAGUUGACCGCCUGGGGAGUACGGUCGCAAGAUUAAAACUCAAAGGAAUUGACGGGGGACCCGCACAAGCGGUGGAUGAUGUGGAUUAAUUCGAUGCAACGCGAAAACCUUACCUACCCUUGGACAUGUCUGGAAUCCCGAAGAUUUGGGAGUGCUCGCAAGAGAACCGGAACACAGGUGCUGCAUGGCUGUCGUCAGCUCGUGUCGUGAGAUGUUGGGUUAAGUCCCGCAACGAGCGCAACCCUUGUCAUUAGUUACAACAGCGGCACUCUAAUGAGACUGCCGGUGACGACAAACCGGAGGAAGGUGCAGAUGACGUCGUGGGUCCUCAUGGCCCUUAUGGGUAGGGCUUCACACGUCAUACAAUGGUCGGGACAGAGGGUCGCCAACCCGCGAGGGGGAGCCAAUCCCAGAAACCCGAUCGUAGUCCGGAUCGCAGUUCGCAACUCGACUGUGAAGUCGGAAUCGCUAGUAAUCGCGGAUCAGCAUGUCGCGGUGAAUACGUUCCCGGGUCUUGUACACACUGCCCGUCACACCAUGGGAGUGGGUUUUACCAGAAGUAGUUAGCCUAACCGUAAGGAGGGCGAUUACCACUUGUGAUCAUGACUGGGUGAAGUCGUAACAAGGUA
rnacentral:rRNA from 1 species